rnacentral:lncRNA from 1 species
GGACGGUUGUUUUGGGGACGUGGAAAGGGGAUGCUGCCAUGUAGGCUUGGACCUGGUGGACUCGGAAGGCCGACUGAAUCUUGACGACCGCGGCUUCCUUGGCGUCACGGGCGCUGCCCUCCGGCGGCGCUGUGGGCGUGGCGCUCGUGACCUCGUGCGGCGCUGCACCUCCGAGAAGCAGUGCGACGACGUGGACGCGAGUUGGCCCUUGCCGUGGCAGCCGGACGCGGCGCUCGUGUCCCUGCCGCUCACCGACGCCGCUGGACGGCGGAAAUUCCAGCGUCUCUUCUCCUUGGCGGCCGGCGCCGGCAGGCCAUCGUCAGUCCCCUUGUCCUUGCCUUCUUGCCGGCCAGGAAGCUUCUGAGCCACCUGCCAGCCUUGCCCAUCUACACAAGAAAACGCUACAAUUCUGCAGCUGCGGCUGCCGCUACUACUUGCUCCCCUCCAUUAGCGUCGAUCUUUGCAGCAGCAUGCAGAGGUAAGCAUCAGACCGAGGAAGAAGCAGAAUGAGGAAUGAGGAAAAAUGAUCCAAUGAUGUCAACAUGACUGAUUUCCCAUUCUCUCAGACUGUCAUUGCCAGAUCAGAGGUGACUCAUCGUGGACUUGCGUGAUGCAGUUUUGGAGCAGAGGCAACAGAACAUUCAGCUCAGAGAUGAACCGGAGAAAGAGAGAAGAGAAAGUCUCCGAUCAUUUUCUGAUGAUGACAGUGUGAUUCUGGGUGCAAGCAUGAAACAAUUUGUAUCAGUAGUUUGUAUUAGGAGUACUUUAUGUAUAAAUGAGAAUGUGUCUGAAUAUUGUCUGAAAAAUGUUGUUUGUCUCAACUACUAUUUUGCGGCAUGCAUCACAACAACAUCAAGCAACAAAUUUGGC